GCUCAGGACGAACGCUGGCGGCGUGCCUAAUACAUGCAAGUCGAGCGGACAGAUGGGAGCUUGCUCCCUGAUGUUAGCGGCGGACGGGUGAGUAACACGUGGGUAACCUGCCUGUAAGACUGGGAUAACUCCGGGAAACCGGGGCUAAUACCGGAUGGUUGUUUGAACCGCAUGGUUCAAACAUAAAAGGUGGCUUCGGCUACCACUUACAGAUGGACCCGCGGCGCAUUAGCUAGUUGGUGAGGUAACGGCUCACCAAGGCAACGAUGCGUAGCCGACCUGAGAGGGUGAUCGGCCACACUGGGACUGAGACACGGCCCAGACUCCUACGGGAGGCAGCAGUAGGGAAUCUUCCGCAAUGGACGAAAGUCUGACGGAGCAACGCCGCGUGAGUGAUGAAGGUUUUCGGAUCGUAAAGCUCUGUUGUUAGGGAAGAACAAGUACCGUUCGAAUAGGGCGGUACCUUGACGGUACCUAACCAGAAAGCCACGGCUAACUACGUGCCAGCAGCCGCGGUAAUACGUAGGUGGCAAGCGUUGUCCGGAAUUAUUGGGCGUAAAGGGCUCGCAGGCGGUUUCUUAAGUCUGAUGUGAAAGCCCCCGGCUCAACCGGGGAGGGUCAUUGGAAACUGGGGAACUUGAGUGCAGAAGAGGAGAGUGGAAUUCCACGUGUAGCGGUGAAAUGCGUAGAGAUGUGGAGGAACACCAGUGGCGAAGGCGACUCUCUGGUCUGUAACUGACGCUGAGGAGCGAAAGCGUGGGGAGCGAACAGGAUUAGAUACCCUGGUAGUCCACGCCGUAAACGAUGAGUGCUAAGUGUUAGGGGGUUUCCGCCCCUUAGUGCUGCAGCUAACGCAUUAAGCACUCCGCCUGGGGAGUACGGUCGCAAGACUGAAACUCAAAGGAAUUGACGGGGGCCCGCACAAGCGGUGGAGCAUGUGGUUUAAUUCGAAGCAACGCGAAGAACCUUACCAGGUCUUGACAUCCUCUGACAAUCCUAGAGAUAGGACGUCCCCUUCGGGGGCAGAGUGACAGGUGGUGCAUGGUUGUCGUCAGCUCGUGUCGUGAGAUGUUGGGUUAAGUCCCGCAACGAGCGCAACCCUUGAUCUUAGUUGCCAGCAUUCAGUUGGGCACUCUAAGGUGACUGCCGGUGACAAACCGGAGGAAGGUGGGGAUGACGUCAAAUCAUCAUGCCCCUUAUGACCUGGGCUACACACGUGCUACAAUGGACAGAACAAAGGGCAGCGAAACCGCGAGGUUAAGCCAAUCCCACAAAUCUGUUCUCAGUUCGGAUCGCAGUCUGCAACUCGACUGCGUGAAGCUGGAAUCGCUAGUAAUCGCGGAUCAGCAUGCCGGGGGAAAAACCCUUUCCCGGGCCCUUGUACACACCGCCCGUCACACCACGAGAGUUUGUAACACCCGAAGUCGGUGAGGUAACCUUUUAGGAGCCAGCCGCCGAAGGUGGGACAGAUGAUUGGGGUGAAUC
rnacentral:rRNA from 1 species